AGAGUUUGAUCAUGGCUCAGAUUGAACGCUGGCGGUAUGCUUAACACAUGCAAGUCGAACGGUAACAGGCCUUCGGGCGCUGACGAGUGGCGGACGGGUGAGUAACGCGUAGGAAUCUGCCUCAUAGUGGGGGACAACGUGGGGAAACUCACGCUAAUACCGCAUACGCCCUACGGGGGAAAGGAGGGGAUCUUCGGACCUUUCGCUAUGAGAUGAGCCUGCGUUAGAUUAGCUAGUUGGUAGGGUAAAGGCCUACCAAGGCGACGAUCUAUAGCUGGUCUGAGAGGACGAUCAGCCACACUGGGACUGAGACACGGCCCAGACUCCUACGGGAGGCAGCAGUGGGGAAUAUUGGACAAUGGGCGAAAGCCUGAUCCAGCAAUACCGCGUGUGUGAAGAAGGCCUUAGGGUUGUAAAGCACUUUCAAUUGGGAGGAAAACCUGCCGGCCAAUACCCGGUAGCUUGACAUUACCUUUAGAAGAAGCACCGGCUAACUCCGUGCCAGCAGCCGCGGUAAUACGGAGGGUGCGAGCGUUAAUCGGAAUUACUGGGCGUAAAGCGUGCGUAGGCGGUUCGUUAAGUCAGAUGUGAAAGCCCUGGGCUCAACCUGGGAACUGCAUUUGAAACUGGCGGACUAGAGUUUAGUAGAGGGGAGUGGAAUUUCAGGUGUAGCGGUGAAAUGCGUAGAUAUCUGAAGGAACACCAGUGGCGAAGGCGACUCCCUGGACUAGAACUGACGCUGAGGUACGAAAGCGUGGGUAGCAAACAGGAUUAGA
rnacentral:rRNA from 1 species